CCUACGGGUGGCAGCAGUGAGGAAUAUUGGUCAAUGGGCGAGAGCCUGAACCAGCCAAGUCGCGUGAGGGAGUACUGCCCUAUGGGUUGUAAACCUCUUUUGUCGGGGAGCAAAAGCCGGACGUGUCCGGCUGUGAGAGUACCCGAAGAAAAAGCAUCGGCUAACUCCGUGCCAGCAGCCGCGGUAAUACGGAGGAUGCGAGCGUUAUCCGGAUUUAUUGGGUUUAAAGGGUGCGCAGGCGGAUUUUUAAGUCAGCGGUAAAAUCGUGGGGCUCAACCCCAUCCAGCCGUUGAAACUGGGGAUCUAGAGUGUGCGAGAGGUAUGCGGAAUGCGUGGUGUAGCGGUGAAAUGCAUAGAUAUCACGCAGAACCCCGAUUGUGAAGGCAGCAUACCGGUGCACAACUGACGCUCAGGCACGAAAGCGUGGGUAUCGAACAGGAUUAGAUACCCCUGUAGUC
rnacentral:rRNA from 1 species